ACGGCCCUUAGCCUACUAAUCCGUGCUGAACUAAGUCAACCAGGUGCCCUACUAGGCGACGACCAGAUUUAUAAUGUCAUUGUUACUGCCCACGCAUUCGUGAUAAUCUUUUUUAUGGUGAUGCCCGUAAUAAUCGGCGGUUUUGGCAAUUGACUUGUUCCCCUGAUGAUCGGCGCCCCUGAUAUAGCCUUUCCACGAAUAAAUAAUAUAAGCUUCUGAUUGCUUCCCCCAUCACUUCUCCUUCUACUUGCCUCAUCUGGCGUCGAAGCCGGCGCAGGAACUGGUUGAACUGUAUACCCCCCCCUUGCCGCCAACUUAGCCCACGCAGGCGCAUCUGUAGACCUAGUUAUCUUCUCACUACAUCUGGCAGGUGUAUCAUCAAUUCUAGGGGCAUCAAUUUUAUUACCACCUGCAUCAACAUAAAAUCCCCCACACUGUCGCAAUACAACACUCCCCUGUUUGUCUGAUCUGUAAUAAUUACAGCAGUAUUACUACUACUUGCCCUACCAGUUCUUGCGGCCGGCAUCACCAUACUUCUAACCGACCGAAACC
rnacentral:rRNA from 1 species